rnacentral:misc_RNA from 1 species
GAUGAAGAACGUAGCGAAAUGCGAUACUUGGAGUGAAUUGCAGAAUCCCGUGAACCAUCGAGUCUUUGAACGCAAGUUGCGCCCGAAGCCAUUAGGCCGAGGGCACGCCUGCCUGGGCGUCACACGUCGUUGCCCCCCCAUCUACUCCUUCGGGAUUGCGGGGGGCGGAUGAUGGCCUCCCGUGCGCCUCGCCGCGCGGUUGGCAUAAAUGCCAAGUCCUCGGCGACGCACGCCACGACAAUCGGUGGUUGCGAAACCUCGGUGGCCCGUCGUGUGCGGUCGUCGCGCAUCGAGGGCUCGAAAAAAUUGCCGGGUUCCGGCUCGGCUUUCAACGCGACCCCAGGUCAGGCGGGGUUACCCGCUGAAUUUAAGCAUAUCAAUAAGCGGAGGA